rnacentral:rRNA from 1 species
GACGAACGCUGGCGGCGGGCCUAAUACAUGCAAGUAGGACGCAGUUGCGAACGGGUGAGUAACGCGUAGGUAACUGCCUAUUAGAGGGGGAUAACCACUGGAAACGAUAGCUAAUACCGCAUAGUAGUAGAUGGACCUUCGUUGUAUUAGCUAGUAGGGAGGGUAAUGGCCUACCUAGGCAACGAUACAUAGCCGACCUUGGGAGGUGAACGGCUAAAAUUGGAAUGGGGCACGGCCCCGACUCCUACGGGGAGCAGCAGUAGGGGAUCUUCGGCAAUGGGGGGAAACCUUACCGAGCAACGCCGGGGUAGUGAAGAAGGUUUUCGGAUCGUAAAACUCCGUUGUUAAGGAAGCGGUACUUAACCAGAAAGGACCGGCUAACUACGUGCCAGCAGCCGCGGUAAUUC